ACUUCUAUUUGCAGUAAAUGAAAGACUGGGGCACUUGGCACCCCAUAGCACUGGGCAAUAAGGGCGUGAACCAAGUCCUAUUGCAGUCAGUAAGAAAGAAUCCCAGUGUUUGGAAUAAACUAAAAAUGUAAUCAAGACUGAAUUAUACUUCUCAUUGGUGUUCCCAAAGCUAACUAGUGUCAUCCACAAAGUUGGGUUUUAUUGACCAUUGUGUCUUUAUGUGACUGGUGACAUUUUCUGUAAUUAAUGACAGGUUUCAGAGUAGCAGCCGUGUUAGUCUGUAUCCGCAAAAAGGAAAAAAAAAAGGAGUACUUGUGGCACCUUAGAGA